rnacentral:lncRNA from 1 species
UGAAGAUGUAAUCAAGGGCCAGAUAAUGAAUGGCAGUUUAAGUACCAUUGAGGUGUUAGUGAUUUAUCCUGGAGGGAGGCAUCAAAAGGUUUCAAAACAGGAAAACAGCAUGAUCUGUUGCUUUUGUACUAUUGGUUUUGGCAGCAAUGUAGAGGAUGGAAUGGAAGCUUGUGAGACUAGGGCAAAAAGAACUAAGAAAACAGCACGAUAAUAUAGAAAAAAAAACAAGGAACAGUGUUAAUAGAGGGCCAUCCAAUUGAAUGUAUGAGGUGGAGGAAGAACAUGUUGCUCUGGAGCUCAGGAGAGAAGGUGAAGUAAAGAUCUGAAUUCGGCAACUCGGAAGCGAAGCUCCAAUCUUGAGGAUGGAUCAGAUUGGUGAGGGAGACUGUCAUAUAGAGUGAGAAGAGAGAUCCAAGGACAGAACUGCAGGAAGCAUCAAUAUUUGAGGAAUGAGAAAGGAAGAAAAGCCUCCCACAAAAGAGAUGAGACAAGAGGAAUGGUUACACAGGAACCCUUGACAUUCUUAAAAAUGAUUGAGGAUUGACCAGUCUGACCAACACGGAGAAACCCCGUCUCUACUAAAAAUACAAAAUUAGCCUGGCGUGGUGGUGCAUGCCUAUAAUCCCAGCUACUUGGGAGGCUGAGGCAGGAGAAUCGCUUGAACCUGGGAGGCAGAGGUUGCGGUGAGCCGAGAUUGCACCAUUGCACUCCAGCCUGGGCAACAAGAGCAAAACUCCAUCUCAAAAAAAAACAAAAAACAAAAACGAAGAUUGAGGAUCCCAAAG